rnacentral:rRNA from 2 species
UUAAGCGACUAAGCGUACACGGUGGAUGCCCUGGCAGUCAGAGGCGAUGAAGGACGUGCUAAUCUGCGAAAAGCGUCGGUAAGGUGAUAUGAACCGUUAUAACCGGCGAUGUCCGAAUGGGGAAACCCAGUGCAAUUCGUUGCACUAUCGUUAACUGAAUACAUAGGUUAACGAGGCGAACCGGGGGAACUGAAACAUCUAAGUACCCCGAGGAAAAGAAAUCAACCGAGAUUCCCCCAGUAGCGGCGAGCGAACGGGGAGCAGCCCAGAGUCUGAAUCAGCUUGUGUGUUAGUGGAACGGUCUGGAAAGUCCGACGGUACAGGGUGAUAGUCCCGUACACCAAAAUGCACAGGCUGUGAACUCGAAGAGUAGGGCGGGACACGUGGUAUCCUGUCUGAAUAUGGGGGGACCAUCCUCCAAGGCUAAAUACUCCUGACUGACCGAUAGUGAACCAGUACCGUGAGGGAAAGGCGAAAAGAACCCCGGCGAGGGGAGUGAAAAAGAACCUGAAACCGUGUACGUACAAGCAGUGGGAGCACCUUCGGGUGUGACUGCGUACCUUUUGUAUAAUGGGUCAGCGACUUAUAUUCUGUAGCAAGGUUAACCGUAUAGGGGAGCCGCAGGGAAACCGAGUCUUAACUGGGCGUUAAGUUGCAGGGUAUAGACCCGAAACCCGGUGAUCUAGCCAUGGGCAGGUUGAAGGUUGGGUAACACUAACUGGAGGACCGAACCGACUAAUGUUGAAAAAUUAGCGGAUGACUUGUGGCUGGGGGUGAAAGGCCAAUCAAACCGGGAGAUAGCUGGUUCUCCCCGAAAGCUAUUUAGGUAGCGCCUCGUGAACUCAUCUUCGGGGGUAGAGCACUGUUUCGGCUAGGGGGUCAUCCCGACUUACCAACCCGAUGCAAACUACGAAUACCGAAGAAUGUUAUCACGGGAGACACACGGCGGGUGCUAACGUCCGUCGUGAAGAGGGAAACAACCCAGACCGCCAGCUAAGGUCCCAAAGUCAUGGUUAAGUGGGAAACGAUGUGGGAAGGCACAGACAGCCAGGAUGUUGGCUUAGAAGCAGCCAUCAUUUAAAGAAAGCGUAAUAGCUCACUGGUCGAGUCGGCCUGCGCGGAAGAUGUAACGGGGCUAAACCAUGCACCGAAGCUGCGGCAGCGACACUAUGUGUUGUUGGGUAGGGGAGCGUUCUGUAAGCCUGCGAAGGUGUGCUGUGAGGCAUGCUGGAGGUAUCAGAAGUGCGAAUGCUGACAUAAGUAACGAUAAAGCGGGUGAAAAGCCCGCUCGCCGGAAGACCAAGGGUUCCUGUCCAACGUUAAUCGGGGCAGGGUGAGUCGACCCCUAAGGCGAGGCCGAAAGGCGUAGUCGAUGGGAAACAGGUUAAUAUUCCUGUACUUGGUGUUACUGCGAAGGGGGGACGGAGAAGGCUAUGUUAGCCGGGCGACGGUUGUCCCGGUUUAAGCAUGUAGGCUGAUUAUCCAGGCAAAUCCGGAUAAUCAAGGCUGAGGUGUGAUGACGAGGCACUACGGUGCUGAAGUAACAAAUGCCCUGCUUCCAGGAAAAGCCUCUAAGCAUCAGGUAACAUCAAAUCGUACCCCAAACCGACACAGGUGGUCAGGUAGAGAAUACCAAGGCGCUUGAGAGAACUCGGGUGAAGGAACUAGGCAAAAUGGUGCCGUAACUUCGGGAGAAGGCACGCUGGUGUGUAGGUGAAGUCCCUGCGGAUGGAGCUGAGACCAGUCGAAGAUACCAGCUGGCUGCAACUGUUUAUUAAAAACACAGCACUGUGCAAACACGAAAGUGGACGUAUACGGUGUGACGCCUGCCCGGUGCCGGAAGGUUAAUUGAUGGGGUUAUCCGUAAGGAGAAGCUCUUGAUCGAAGCCCCGGUAAACGGCGGCCGUAACUAUAACGGUCCUAAGGUAGCGAAAUUCCUUGUCGGGUAAGUUCCGACCUGCACGAAUGGCGUAAUGAUGGCCAGGCUGUCUCCACCCGAGACUCAGUGAAAUUGAACUCGCUGUGAAGAUGCAGUGUACCCGCGGCAAGACGGAAAGACCCCGUGAACCUUUACUAUAGCUUGACACUGAACAUUGAGCCUUGAUGUGUAGGAUAGGUGGGAGGCUUUGAAGCGUGGACGCCAGUCUGCGUGGAGCCAACCUUGAAAUACCACCCUUUAAUGUUUGAUGUUCUAACGUUGGCCCCUGACCGGGGUUGCGGACAGUGUCUGGUGGGUAGUUUGACUGGGGCGGUCUCCUCCCAAAGCGUAACGGAGGAGCACGAAGGUUAGCUAAUCCUGGUCGGACAUCAGGAGGUUAGUGCAAUGGCAUAAGCUAGCUUGACUGCGAGCGUGACGGCGCGAGCAGGUGCGAAAGCAGGUCAUAGUGAUCCGGUGGUUCUGAAUGGAAGGGCCAUCGCUCAACGGAUAAAAGGUACUCCGGGGAUAACAGGCUGAUACCGCCCAAGAGUUCAUAUCGACGGCGGUGUUUGGCACCUCGAUGUCGGCUCAUCACAUCCUGGGGCUGAAGUAGGUCCCAAGGGUAUGGCUGUUCGCCAUUUAAAGUGGUACGCGAGCUGGGUUUAGAACGUCGUGAGACAGUUCGGUCCCUAUCUGCCGUGGGCGCUGGAGAAUUGAGGGGGGCUGCUCCUAGUACGAGAGGACCGGAGUGGACGCAUCACUGGUGUUCGGGUUGUCAUGCCAAUGGCACUGCCCGGUAGCUAAAUGCGGAAGAGAUAAGUGCUGAAAGCAUCUAAGCACGAAACUUGCCCCGAGAUGAGUUCUCCCUGAGACUUUAAGUCUCCUGAAGGAACGUUAAAGACGAUGACGUUGAUAGGCCGGGUGUGUAAGCGCAGCGAUGCGUUGAGCUAACCGGUACUAAUGAACCGUGAGGCUUAACCUU